AUCCAGUUGAAGAGUCCCAAAUAGGACGAAACGUGCGUCCUGGAU
rfam:Schistosoma mattheei strain Denwood, Zambia genome assembly, scaffold: SMTD_contig0005420